CAUGAAGAGAGUGAAGUGAGGAGCUUCCUGCAGUGUCUGCCUUAUAUCACAGAACUCAGUUUCAAGCCUCAGGCAUCAAAACCUUCAGAAGAAACCAGGUUCUUUGUGAAUCUGUUCUGUGCAGCAGCAGAGAGAGAACAGCAGACAGGAGAGAAGAUACUGGAGCUGUUAUCAUCAGUGUGCACAUAUCAAACAUUCACUCUUAAACAGAAGUGGUGCGAUUUUCUACUUGACUUGUACCCCAGUGUGCUUGAAAUGGGUUUGAGUGCCCCAUCAUCAUUACAGUCAGUUUUCCAGUCAGCUCCUGCAGUCUGGUUCAUAAACCUCUCAGAGAGAAAGACCUCCAUCCUCCUGGAAGUGCUGAAACUCCAACCAGAAAAGAAACAGCUAAAUCUCACAGGCUGGUCACAUGAGGAAAAUGAAGAGAGGCAUUUCCUUCAGUGUCUGCCUUAUAUUUCAAAGCUCAGUUUUGGUACUACAUCAUCAGAAUCAUCAGAAGCAGUCAGGUUCUUUGGGAAUCUGUUCUGUGCAGCAGCAGAGAGAGAACAGCAGACAGGAGAGAAGAUACUGGAGCUGUUAUCAUCAGUGUGCAGAUAUAAAGGAUUCCCUCUGAAGGAGAUAUGGUGUGAUUUUCUCAUGGACCUGUACUAUUAUACAACAAAGACAGGCUUGAGUGUCCUUCCAUCAUUACAGUCAGUUUUCCAGUCAGCUCCUGCAGUCUGGUUCAUAAACCUCUCAAAGAGAAAGACCUCCAUCCUCCUGGAAGUGCUGAAACUCCAACCAGAAAAGAAACAA